rnacentral:rRNA from 1 species
GCGGCAACAGCUCAAAUUUGAAAUCUGGCCCCUAGGGUCCGAGUUGUAAUUUGUAGAGGAUGCUUUUGGUGAGGUGCCGCCCGAGUUCCCUGGAACGGGACGCCACAGAGGGUGAGAGCCCCGUCUGGCUGGCCACCGAGCCUCUGUAAAGCUCCUUCGACGAGUCGAGUAGUUUGGGAAUGCUGCUCAAAAUGGGAGGUAUAUGUCUUCUAAAGCUAAAUAUUGGCCAGAGACCGAUAGCGCACAAGUAGAGUGAUCGAAAGAUGAAAAGCACCUUGAAAAGAGGGUUAAAUAGUACGUGAAAUUGUUGAAAGGGAAGCGCUUGUGACCAGACUUGGGCGCGGCGGAUCAUCCGGGGUUCUCUCCGGUGCACUUCGCCGCGUCUAGGCCAGCAUCAGUUCGUCGCGGGGGAAAAAGGCUUCGGGAACGUGGCUCCUCCGGGAGUGUUAUAGCCCGUUGCAUAAUACCCUGCGGUGGACUGAGGACCGCGCAUCUGCAAGGAUGCUGGCGUAAUGGUCACCAGCGACCC